rnacentral:lncRNA from 1 species
GGCGAAGCUGCCCAAAGAAAGGGCUUUCGAUGGGAACUUAAAUAAGUUAGGGGAGCAGAGGUGGGGUGGAGCUCCCCAGGCAGAGAGAUGAAGAUGGGGAAGGUCAGGUGUGUCCCGACCAGAAGCAUCCUGGAGAGGUGGGCUGUGUGGGUUUAAGUGGCUUCAGGGUUGGGCCGCACGCUCUCGCUGGGAAACUCGGGUGCUCCUGCUACAACUUGCCCCCUCCCUCUCAGGUCAGCCAGUUCCAGACUGGGAAGCUUGUGGCUCAAGGCAGCCGGAAGUGGAAACUGCUCAGCUGGAGCGCUUGCUGAGCAACGACGUCUGCUCUCUGGGCCUCCGAGUUCCCAUCAGCACGAAUACCACAGGAACUCCCAAGACUGUCGUCACCGGUGUGGGUGACCACUCUAGCCUCCACGUGCAACACGUGUACGCCAUUGGGUAGAGGCUGCUGGCGCCCGGCCAGGCGGGCGCGAUGGGCGGGCGGCGGCCUAGUCCUGGGCCCGGAGCCCCAAGCGAAGGCCCACUGCCGCCCGCCGCAGCCCCGCCCUCCCCCGGCUCGGGGCGGAGCCUCCGUCUGGCCGCCCCUUUAUCUGCCCGCUUGUAGCCGGGAUGCAGAGGGCCGCCGAGGGCCGCCGGGUCGCAGUGGGGCCUCCUUUUGCAACUCGUCAGUAGAGGACAGAAGCCAAUCAAAUUUGCCUCACAUCCAUGAACCAGGCCCUGGACACCUGGUCUCAGCCCAGCUUUGCCCGCCUUGCUGUGUGAUCUUGGAUGAGGAAAGGCCAGAGACCAGAGCUGACUCCAGAAUGUAAUGCAGGAGGAGCUCAGGGAUGCAAAUCAGGCUCGGGCUGUGGAGGUGUGUGGGCUGGGGGCUUGUCUUGAUGUUGCCUUUGCAUAGCAAGCACAUUGCAUUUACUUGGACCAUGUGCGAAUUAUUGGGUGGCUUUGGGGGUGAUCACGGUGCUGCUGGUGGCGGGGAACUUGAGUGCAGAUCUUCUUGCCUCUUAGAAUGACUGGUGCAAAGGAAGUUGCAAUAAAUAUCUGAUGAACGAUGGACAGAGUACAUCUGGCUGCCGAGUCCAAUAAGCUUCUUGGGGGAGAAUCUGAGGGAGGGGAGUUGUCUGUCUAGCUGGUUGUCUGGCUAGUUUUUCAACAGAUAUUUGAUUUAAUGAAUGAAACAGUGAAUAAUGAUAAGCCUGAAUUAAGCAAUUGGUACCAGGCAAAAGCAGUAUAUAAUUAUGAAAUGAUUAAUAGUACUUGCCACCUUGUUUUGCAAAGGGCAAUUUAAGGAAGUGGUUAAGAUUGCAAACUGAGUUUAUAUCAUGCCUCUGCCACUUCCUAGGCAGGGUACUUAACUUCUCUGUGCCUCAGUUUCCUUAUCUGAAAAAUGGGCAUAAUGAUAAUACCUAUCUGAUAGGGUGCUAUGAUGCUUAAAUGAGUCAAAUAUGCAUAACGUGCUUAAGACACUGACACAUAGCACAUGCUGUGUAAGCAUUUGCUAUGCUUUGUUUUCCUCUCUGUUACCUCUACCAUAUCAUGAAGUUCCUGAAGGUAGGGAUCAAGUUCUUUUCUACUCUCCUGCCCACCCCCACCUUUGGGACCCGGCACAGGACAUGAAGCAGAGAAGGGGCUCAGUAAGUGUUUGCUAAAUGAAUGAAUGUGUUUUAAAUGCUAAAUUGUAUAACCCAUUAUAGAUCUCCCACAGGGAGAAGUAAGGGGGCAUUAAGGAAGUCCCCUGGAGGUGGCAGCUUGUACUGGUUUUAAAGGAUUUCAGUAGAGGGAAAGGAAGUUGGCACAGGGUCUGACAUUUGGGUUAGGUGGGAAAUGAGGGUGGGAGCAGGUCAUGGGGUCUUGAAUGCCAGGUGAGGGGUUAGAUUGGAUUUAUUUGCAAUUAGCAAUGGUGGAAGGGCUGGAGGGGGGACCUUUUGAGUGAGGGUGUGGCUGAGGGAAAGGGCUGUUUUUAUAGGAUCAGUUGUUUCUAGGGUCUUUUGGGAAAAAAGUGGCUUUUCGAGUUGGGCCUUGAAGGCUAUGAAGUAUUAUCAGGAUGCUAUUAUGUUGUUUUUUCAUUCAACAAACAUUGAGCACCAGCUACCUGCUAAGCACCAGGGGUUCACAAAAUAAUAAGACAAACUGCCUACCCUGGAGGAGCUCACAUUAACAAUUUAAUGCCCGUGAGAAGUAUUAUAAUGGUCAAAGGAUUGUAGGCACUCAAGUUAGAGGGAUCAUUAUCGGAGGACCUCCAGGGAAAGUGUCACAGAAGAAAUGGGUUUUGAGGGAUGAAUAGGAGUUUGCCAGAUGGGCAAGAUGAGGUAAAUGGCUCAGAUGGAGGGAAUAGCUUGUGCAGAGCUAUAGACAUGUGAAACAGCAGGCCCACGGUUUUGAUGAGGCUCUGGCUGGAUGUGAAAUGCACUGUGGUUGAGUAAUAAGGCUAGGAAAGGUAGUAGGGACCAGAUCAUGUAGGGUGAUGGAGGGUCAAUGGCAGACCCUGGCCACUCUGAAGGAGUUAAAGGUAGAGGCAGCAGGUCUGUUAGCAAGGUCAUUGUCAGGUAAACACUGAUGGCAACAUGAACACAGGAGAAAACAGUGAGGGUUGCUGUAUAGAGCCUGGACUGGAAAGAAGUAGGAUGACAUAGUGAGCCUCUUUAACACAGGCCUCAAACAUUUACUGAACACCUACUAUGUGCCAGGCACUGUUCUAGGCACUUGAGAUACAUCAGGGAGAAGAACAAUCAUGAGUCAGAGCUGAGCUCCCCCUUAGGACAACUCCCCUCCUCUUAAACUCAGUGUAGGGAUAAGGGGGUGGGGAAGAGCA